ACUUGAGCAUGUGCGGGAAAGGUGUCUGUCUGUCAGCCAGCACCUGCUGCUCUUCAGAGACUGGGUGAUGCGCGCCGCCGCCGCUGCUGUUGUUUAAUCAGCCUUGUCUAUCCAGCAGCAACCCUUUCUAGACAAGCUCUUUUCCUUUUAUCCACGAGUCUCCCAGACUCUUUCGGAUCCACACGCACAUGUGGUGAUCCACAGGGCUUGACAAUGUGUGAAAUCCCCUCUAAUCCCGGGCCCUUCCUCGCUUCACUCCAAAGCUCGAUGUUUUCCUUUUGUAGAAACUCACUGGAGGCCUUAAGAGAGAUAACGUGCAAGAAAGACUAUUUGGCUCUUCCAGAGCUCGCUGUCGCCUCGCCUCAAGUCGCGCGUAUCAUUUGAUCACAGUUCCUGGCUCCGUGUCUGCAGAGAGACACUCCGCUGCAAUAAGCAGUUUACUCCUAAAGAACUCACUAUUCUGCCUUCUCCUCCCAAGUGCUGGCAUCACAGGUGUGUAUCACCGCGGCCAGCUGACAAUGCAGAUUGGAUUUGAGAUCUUAAAAAAAUUCACUGGGUUUUCCUGAGAACAAUGUACAUGUACGUCAUCAAACCCAAGCUCUUGACUCUAGCUGCAUAUGUAUCAAAAGAUGGCCUAGUCGGCCAUCACUGGAAAGAGAGGCCCAUUGGACACGCAAACUUUAUAUGCCCCAGUACAGGGGAACGCCAGGGCCAAAAAAAUGGGAAUGGGUGGAUAGGGGAGUGGGGGGAAGGGUAUGGGGGACUUUUGGGAUAGCAUUGGAAAUGUAAUUGAGGAAAAUAUGUAAUAAAAAAUAUUUUUAAAAAUA
rnacentral:lncRNA from 1 species